rnacentral:lncRNA from 7 species
GACACCGCACCACUGAACGAACGAAGGCGACGGAUACGACGUGAAGGUGGCAGGUGACUUCGAUGCCGCAAAGCACGCGACUUGGACAUCCUCCUCAUCUAUCCUGCUGCCAAAAAUUGCCAACGCUUCCUUCCAGUCCUUCACAACAUCAAUCUAGGCAUCUGGCUCUGUUGAAGCAGCAAAUCUUCACGGAUAGCACGUAGCGAAAGCAAAUCUACACGCGAUCUGUGCGGAUUGGCAAAUUCCCGGUGGCCAUCACGGUGUGACACUGCAGAACUGAGCCAGUGCGUUGCGUAAUUGGGGCAAAAAAAUGAAUCUGACGGUUGUAGAAGUAUGCGGCCAUCCCCGAUUCAAUCCAAUGUCAUCCCAAAUCCGAGCACAGACGCAAUAGCAACAUCUCCUAAUCUCCUUUCUCUUCCUCCCCACAUCAACGGCUCCACCCGGCCGGCUUUUUUUUCCUUUAAUUUUUCCCACAACAUGCAAGCUAUCCACUCUCGUCGGCUUUCUCUGUAUGUAUCCUAUUGUUCCCCUCUGCUGCAUCCUAGUAGAUCUGUACAGUCUUAAGUAUUAUGAUUCCAAUCACCAAAUAUUGCGCUGAUUUCGUAUAGACACCGUGUGUGUUUAUGAAGAAAUAUAUAUGUGUUAGUGUGUUACUCUGUUACCCAUAACUAUGGCCUUGUAUGGUUACCUAGAGAUUCUCAUAAUUAGAUAAAAUCUAUCCGUUAGAGAU